CCUUGCUUUAUUAGAAAAAAAAAAAUAAUUUUCUUUUCUAGUGAAGAAGCUAGAAUUUAGAUGUGGGACAAGAAGACCCUUUUGAGCUUUAUUAUUUAUUUUUUUGAAAAAUUUUAAUAAUUUGGUUGGGGCGACCAAGGAAGGUUGGAUCUUCCUUAUAUAACUAUGAUCUGUUGUUUUCGAUUGAAGGAAUAAGCUACCUAAGGGAUAACAGCGUAAUUUUUUUUGUGAGCUCUUAUUUAAAAAAAAGAUUGCGACCUCGAUGUUGACUUAUAAUUUCCUUUUGGUGUAGCAGCUAAUAUGGUAGGUCUGUUCG
rnacentral:rRNA from 1 species